CCGUGUCAGUGUCGGAAAACCCGGGGCGAAGCGAGCUGUGCAAUUUGCCGUGCCAGUUGGUUUUCGAGUGGAGUGGAAAGGGACAUGCUAGUCACGGGAUGGACGACGGCCAGGAAGCGAUCAAAGGACAUCAGCACCAGCGUGCACCUGCAGUGGCACGUAACCACAAUCAUGUACUGGACGAACUUGCACCACACAUUGCCAAACGGCCACUCCGGCAGCACGUAAUCGG